GAUGAAGAACGUAGCGAAAUGCGAUAAGUAGUGUGAAUUGCAGAAUUCAGUGAAUCAUCGAAUCUUUGAACGCACAUUGCGCCUCCUGGUAUUCCGGGAGGCAUGCCUGUUCGAGCGUCAUUAAAAUCACUCAAGCUUAGGUUUACCUAUUGCUUGGUCUUGGAGAUGGAAGCCAAUUUAUUGGAUUCCUCUUCGAAAUUCAAUGGCGAAGACCCUUGCUCUCCCAAGUGUAGUAAUAACUUAUGUCACUGAAGGAAGCGAGAAAUCUUCUGCCGUAACCCCCAUAUUUUCUAUGAUUGACCUCGGAUCAGGUAGGGAUACCCGCUGAACUUAAGCAUAUCAAUAAGCGGAGGA
rnacentral:misc_RNA from 1 species